CGGGCUUACUCCAUCUCUCGCGGUGAUUCUCGGUUACGUUGUCGCCUCUCGUUUGCUUACUCGUUUCAUCUCUUGUGUAUAGAUUGUGCGGUUGUCUCGCUUCAUCGGAUUUCUUCGCUAUACGUCGUCUAGGCCAGUUCGCCAGUUGCUCGGUUGAUCGGUUGAAUUUGAGUCUAACUCUAGAUGAUAAGUUAAGAGGUUAAGUUUUCUUCUUUUUUCUUCUUUGAUAAAUGAAAUUUAAAACUUUAAUUAAAAAAUUUAAAACAUAGUAUUCGAAAAAUGAAAAGAAGAAAUAGAAAACAAAGAAUCCAAAUUAUAGAAGUUAAUAUUUAAAAUUCAGAUUUCAAAAUAUGACACAAGGCGAAAAUAUUAUUUGGUCUUUCUUAAGUAGAGGAUAUUGUAUAUUUGAGAAUAUAGAAAUCGUACAAGAUGGUUUACCUCAGGUGAGCAAUAUUUGUCUUGGGAUACAUUACUUGUAAACUUGCAUGUUUCUUACACAUAAUAGCUACGCAUUUUUUAUCUUGGCUCGCUAGAAAAUUUAAUCUGAAGCUUUAUCAAGUCCUCUUCAUUAUCUAUAGUUAUCAAUUCUUUUUGCAAUUUCUUUUUUCCUCAUUUCUCACGAUUUACAACUCUAUCCUUACUUUUAUCUUCCGCCAACUUUUCAUACUGGUUUCAGUUCAGGCCAAGUCCUUGUCAUCGAUCUUUCCUUAUUUUUACUUCGACCUAUUUUACUCGCUUUCAGAAUAUUCAUUUAUCCGGCUUUUAUUUCGUGAUACAGCCCGUUUUCUUCUAAUUGCAUCCAACUUGCCACAUCUCUUGACAUCUUUCUAUCCUUCCAACUAUUUGUUUUAUUCUCUACACACAAAUGUAUAUACAAUUUCAAUUCAGAUCUUCUGUAUAUCUAGCUUUUAUGCGAAUCAUAAGCUGCAGUGAUAUUCUUCCUAACUUUUCACACCGUAAAUCUUGUUUGUAUGCAAGUUGCUUAUUCUCUCUUAAUCUACCGAAGUUGCAUUUGAAUUAUGCUUCUUAUAUGCAUUUUAAAAUUUAAGUUUUUUUUUUUUGAGUUUUCGAGAUUUUACUUCUUUGCUUUGGUUUUUGAAUUUUAUUUUUUUUUUCUUGAAUUUUUAGUUUAUGCAUUAUAUUUUGAUUUGAUCUUGUUUUAUAGAAAUCAUUUUUAAUAUCAUUAUUCAAUAUGCACACACAAAUAUAAAUAACAUACAUUACUUUAUUAGAUACUAUAUCUAAAAACAAUAAUGCAUGAUAAUAUAUAUUUAUAUUUUUUUCGCUAUUUUAUUAUAUACAGAAUCUCAGUUAAUCUUUCCACUCCUAUUCUGUUCAUGAUUUUCCAUUUCUUCUUUCUCUAAAUGUUCUAUUUCUUUAUUUAAGCCUAAAAUUUUCACUGUCUUCACUCUCUUUUCGUACUUAUUUAUUUCUCAUGUACAUUCUUUUAAGAGAAAUUCUUGUCUUUCCUUCUUUUUCCUUCAAUUAACCUUUAUCCAACAAUUCUCUCUACCAUAAAACUUCUCAUCUAGAUCUCUUGCGAGGAGAUACAAUAAUUUAAAACACAAUUUUAUUCGUGAUAGAAGUAUAUGACACGACUAUUGUUUGUAGUAUUUAUAUUUUUAUAUAAUAUCAAGAAAAAAAGGCUUAUAAAUUGUUUACAUCAAUUUCAGUAGCUACAGGAUAUCUCAUCUAAAAUUUUAUCACUUAUUUUCAAAAAAUUAAUACAUUUAACUUGCUAAAAAUGAUAUUAAUGGAUUAAAAGAAAAUUUGCAAAUAAAAAGUUUGGCAUUCAGGUAUGGCAAUUAUUAUUAUUUGGGCACGCUUCGAAUAAUAAUAAUUUUAUAAUAGAUAUUGAUUGGAAUUUAAAAGGCUCUCAGCGAGGAGACAAAUUUUUAUGGAAACAACUGAAAAUUUAGCAACAGCUUCUUCAAUAAAUAUAAUUGUAUUAAUUAUGUCUAUAUAAAAUUCAACGUAUAAUAUUAAAAGUUUUUCAUUAAUGUCUUAAAAACUAAUAAAGAUAUCCAAAAUUAAAA